ACCCAUACGCUCUAAAUGGCCAUCGAACGCCUUUGGUAGUAAAGCUUUAGUUUGCGGAUCUGCUAUCUUUAUAUCCUUUCUUAUGUGCUCAAAUGACACUCUAUGUUUCUGAACUUCUUCUUCUUUAAUAGAUAAGUACUCUAACUUAAUGUGCUUAGCACCCUUCUAAUACUUGUCAUCCUUUCAAAAGAAGACAGCUGCGAAUUUAUCACCAUAAUCUCUCAGCGGUUUGGAGUUAGUGUCGACAAUCCAAAGCCCUGAGAUAAAUUUCCGCAGGCUCCAUACAUGAAUUGUGGCUUCAAAGCACACCACAAUUCAACCUUAAUAGUGGAAGUAGCAAUGACAAACUACUUUCCACUUUCCUUUAAAUUGUUCCCACAAAUAAUAGAAACAAUACCUAAACAUUGAUUUUUACCAUCAACGCAUCCGGCUUUAUUUGAAUCUGAAAAUCCUAUGACCUUUAAUUGAUUGGAUCUCUUUUAUGUAAGCAUGUUCUCGUUGGUGCCUUGCAAGUACCAGAGGACCUUUCUUU
rnacentral:lncRNA from 1 species